rnacentral:rRNA from 1 species
CCUACGGGAGGCAGCAGUGGGGAAUAUUGCACAAUGGGCGCAAGCCUGAUGCAGCAACGCCGCGUGAGGGACGACGGCCUUCGGGUUGUAAACCUCUUUUAGUAGGGAAGAAGCGAAAGUGACGGUACCUGCAGAAAAAGCACCGGCUAACUACGUGCCAGCAGCCGCGGUAAUACGUAGGGUGCAAGCGUUAUCCGGAAUUAUUGGGCGUAAAGAGCUCGUAGGCGGUUUGUCGCGUCUGCUGUGAAAACCUGGAGGCUCAACCUCCAGCCUGCAGUGGGUACGGGCAGACUAGAGUGCGGUAGGGGAGAUUGGAAUUCCUGGUGUAGCGGUGGAAUGCGCAGAUAUCAGGAGGAACACCGAUGGCGAAGGCAGAUCUCUGGGCCGUAAACUGACGCUGAGGAGCGAAAGCAUGGGGAGCGAACAGGAUUAGAUACCCUGGUAGUCCAUGCCGUAAACGUUGGGAACUAGAUGUAGGGACCAUUCCACGGUUUCUGUGUCGCNGCUACGACAUACGUUACCCGUCCGUCGGGAGGUACGGCCGGCCGACGGACGUAAACCGUUAAACGGUAAAGUUAGUACGGCGUGAGACGUGCGAGGACGACGACCGAGGGAGGUAGG